ACGGGUGAGUAACACGUGGGUGAUCUGCCCUGUACUUCGGGAUAAGCCUGGGAAACUGGGUCUAAUACCGGAUAUGACCUUACAUCGCAUGGUGUUUGGUGGAAAGAUUUAUCGGUACAGGAUGGGCCCGCGGCCUAUCAGCUUGUUGGUGGGGUAAUGGCCUACCAAGGCGACGACGGGUAGCCGGCCUGAGAGGGCGACCGGCCACACUGGGACUGAGACACGGCCCAGACUCCUACGGGAGGCAGCAGUGGGGAAUAUUGCACAAUGGGCGAAAGCCUGAUGCAGCGACGCCGCGUGAGGGAUGACGGCCUUCGGGUUGUAAACCUCUUUCGACAGGGACGAAGCGCAAGUGACGGUACCUGUAGAAGAAGCACCGGCCAACUACGUGCCAGCAGCCGCGGUAAUACGUAGGGUGCGAGCGUUGUCCGGAAUUACUGGGCGUAAAGAGCUUGUAGGCGGUUUGUCGCGUCGUC
rnacentral:rRNA from 1 species